UACGUAGGGUGCAAGCGUUGUCCGGAAUUAUUGGGCGUACAGAGCUCGUAGGCGGUCUGUCGCGUCGGCUGUGAAAACCCGAGGCUCAACCUCGGGCCUGCAGUCGAUACGGGCAAACUGGAGUGUUGCAGGGGAGACUGGAAUUCCUGGUGUAGCGGUGAAAUGCGCAGAUAUCAGGAGGAACACCGGUGGCGAAGGCGGGUCUCUGGGCAACAACUGACGCUGAGGAGCGAAAGCGUGGGGAGCGAACAGG
rnacentral:rRNA from 1 species